rnacentral:rRNA from 1 species
UACGUAGGCAGCAAGCGUUGUUCGGAGUUACUGGACGUAAAGGGUGUGUAGGCGGUUGUUUAAGUUUGGUGUGAAAUCUCCCGGCUCAACUGGGAGGGUGCGCCGAAUACUGAAUGACUAGAGUGCGGGAGAGGAAAGUGGAAUUCCUGGUGUAGCGGUGAAAUGCGUAGAGAUGCGGAGGAACACCGAUGGCGAAGGCAGCCCCCCUGGGCUGACACUGACGCUCAGGCACGAAAGCGUGGGGAGCAAACAGG